rnacentral:rRNA from 1 species
AAUAUUGCGCAAUGGAGGGAACUCUGACGCAGCGACGCCGUGUGAGCUAUGAAGGGCUUCGGAUCGGAAAGCUCUGUCCUUGGGGAAGAGGGGAGCCGUAAGGCUUCUUGCGGGUACCCAUGGAGGAAUCACCGGCUAACUACGUGCCAGCAGCCGCGGUAAUACGUAGGGGGCAAGCGUUGUCCGGAAUUAUUGGGCGUAAAGGGUGCGUAGGCGGCCCUUUAAGUCAGAUGUGAAAGCCCACGGAUUAACCGUGGGACUGCAUUUGAAACUGGAGGGCUUGAGUGUCGGAGAGGGCAGUGGAAUUCCCAGUGUAGCGGUGGAAUGCGUAGAUAUUAGGAGGAACACCAGUGGCGAAGGCGACUUUCUGGACUGUAACUGACGCUGAGGCACGAAAGCGUGGGUAGCGAAC